GAAGAUGCAUCUUAGAGUCUUCACAGCUUUCUUGUGUUAAUCGUGUUAUCUUUGGCCGGGUAUCACUGUUAGUGAAUC
rfam:Prevotella bryantii B14 contig_096, whole genome shotgun sequence.